AGAGUUUGAUUCUGGCUCAGAACGAACGCUGGCAGCGUGGAUUAGGCAUGCAAGUCGAACGAUAACCAGUAGCUUCAAGUUUUCGGACGAGAAGUUGUUGGGGACAGUGGCGGAAGGGUGAGUAACGCGUGGGUAACCUACCCCUGAGUUGGGGACAACCCUUGGAAACGGGGGCUAAUACCGAAUACGGUUUCUUCUCAUAAGGGUAGAGGAUUAAAGGUGGGGAUUCUUCGGAACCUGCCGCUUAGGGAGGGGCCCGCGUGCCGUCAGCUUGUUGGUAGGGUAACGGCCUACCAAGGCUUACGGCUAGCUGGUCUGAGAGGAUGGUCAGCCACACUGGGACUGAGACACUGCCCAGACUCCUACGGGAGGCUGCAGUCGAGGAUCAUUCGCAAUGCGCGAAAGCGUGACGAUGCGACGCUGCGUGGAGGAUGAAGGCCUUCGGGUUGUAAACUCCUGUCAUGAGGGAAAAGACGGUGGGGGAAGAAUACUCCUUCGCCCCGAUGGUACCUCAAGAGGAAGCCACGGCUAACUCUGUGCCAGCAGCCGCGGUAAUACAGAGGUGGCGAGCGUUGUUCGGAUUUACUGGGCGUAAAGGGUGCGUAGGUGGCUUUGUAUGUCGGAUGUGAAAGCCCACGGCUCAACCGUGAACCGCAUUCGAAACUGCGGAGCUAGAGUGCAGGAGGGGAGAGCGGAAUUCUUGGUGUAGCGGUGAAAUGCGUUGAUAUCAAGAAGAACACCGGUGGCGAAGGCGGCUCUCUGGAAUGUUACUGACACUGAGGCACGAAAGCUAGGGUAGCAAACAGGAUUAGAUACCCUGGUAGUCCUAGCUGUAAACGGUGCGCACUUGGUGUUGGCGGUAUUGACCCCGCCAGUGCCGGAGCUAACGCGUUAAGUGCGCCGCCUGGGGAGUACGGCCGCAAGGCUAAAACUCAAAGAAAUUGACGGGGGCCCGCACAAGCGGAGGAGCAUGUGGCUUAAUUCGAUGCAACGCGAAGAACCUUACCAGGGCUUGACAUGUAGCUGCACGCCCCGGGAAACCGGGGAAGCCUUCGAGGGUGCUACACAGGUGCUGCAUGGCUGUCGUCAGUUCGUGCCGUGAGGUGUUGGGUUAAGUCCCGCAACGAACGCAACCCUUGUGUUUAGUUGCUACCGGAGGUGAUGAGCCUCCGAGCACUCUAGACAGACUGCCUGUACAAGCAGGAGGAAGGUGGGGACGACGUCAAGUCAGUAUGGCCCUUACGCCCUGGGCUGCACACGUGCUACAAUGGCCGGUACAGAGGGCAGCAAGACCGCGAGGUGGAGCUAAUCCCCAAAACCGGCCCCAGUUCGGAUUGGAGUCUGCAACUCGACUCCAUGAAGUCGGAUUCGCUAGUAACGGCGCAUCAGCUACGGCGCCGUGAAUACGUUCCCGGGCCUU
rnacentral:rRNA from 1 species